rnacentral:rRNA from 1 species
CGUGAAGUUGGAAUUGCUAGUAAUCGCGGAUCAGCAUGCCGCGGUGAAUACGCUCCCGGGCCUUGUACACACCGCCCGUCACACCAUGGGAGCCGGUAAUACCCGAAGCCCAUGUCAAAGUGGUCGAAGGUAGGCUUGAUGAUUGGGGUGAAGUCGUAACAAGGUAAC